GCCCCCUCCCCCUCCCUCCAGAGCACUCCAGUGCUUGAGCCCGACCCAAUCCAUCACCGUAGCGCGAGGAUUUCCGGCGACCUCCGUCCUCGGCUCCGCCACCAUUCCUAGCUCCCGAGCACCCCCGCGCCCCGUGCGCACCCUGGAUGGAUGCGCCACACCCCAGUGACCCUCCCUGGCUCGCAGCCCGUCCUUUUCCCCUACCGGAACCCCUACUUCCCCGGCGACCAAAGCUCCCUCUCCGCCGCGGGUCCUGCUGCUCCCGCUGCAGCGCUCGCCAGCGGCAGAGACCUUCACCCGGAGAUGCGUCUCUCUCCACUGAUCACGUGGGUAGGUUCUACACCCCCAGCCAUGGUCGAGAACGCCGGCAAUCACCGUCGAGGCAAGCCACUCCCUCGGCCAGGCGCGCGUCGGAGCGGGAGGUUGAAGGCGGUCAGGCCAGGCGGGCCCCUCCCCAAGCGACCCCACCAGUCGGCGACUGGGAGAUGCCACGUCAGCCCCCGCCGACCGAACCGGUUAUUUUGUGAACGUCCACCCGUUAAGGCCAGAAAUGAAUAUAUUUUUAUUGGAUUUCUGCCUAACGAACGACCGGCCACAACUUUGCGCUCGUAACUCCGAUUGAGCCCCUUUGAGAGAGAACCGUUCUCCGGCAAAUUUUUCCGAGAGUUGACCACACUCCCGGAGUAAUCCUCGACCCCCAGGCAAGCCAAUCUCUUAUCAUGAGCCCUGAAAUUGCAUGUUGACUUUGCUGGUACCUCGUGUGUGUGCUUAGUUGUAGUAGUCCUCGUCUGUUUCGUCUGCCAUGAAUUCAGUUGUGCUUUAUAUCAGUACUGCUUGCCAUGUCAUGCUUGCCUUUCAUGAUAGCACUUGCCAUGCUAGUUAUAUUGUUGUUAAUAUCAUACUUGUGUUUGGUUAGUUUCAUGCCAGUAGUAUCGAUGCUAUGAUGAUUUUGGUUACACCGUCGAUAAGCUAGUACCCGGUAUUGUCAUGUUUCAUAUGCUAUACCUGUUCACUCGAAAAGCCUGAUAUUUGUUAAUGCAUUUGUUGCUGCAUGUUCAUUGUUGCAUCCUUGUUAAAUAUGUUCUUAAUGUUGAUGAUAACAUGACUUAAUAAUAAACCUCCUCCGUCAUCGAUAGGAUCGAGUCAUGGUGCCACCAAAUCGAGCUUUCUCCGGUGCAACCCCAUUUACCUUUAUGGGAUGUCCUAGCUGGGUCUAUUUUCAUGCCUCUCGCUGGUGCCUCCAAUUAGGGAAGGUUAUGGGCGCGCGCUACCCUGAUCAGGUAGGCGGACAUAAGCCUUGUG